AUGCCGCGUGCAGGAAGACUGCCCUAUGGGUUGUAAACUGCUUUUACAGAGGAAGAAACACUCCUACGUGUGGGAGAUUGACGGUACUCUGCGAAUAAGGAUCGGCUAACUCCGUGCCAGCAGCCGCGGUAAUACGGAGGAUCCAAGCGUUAUCCGGAAUCAUUGGGUUUAAAGGGUCCGUAGGCGGACAAUUAAGUCAGUGGUGAAAGUCUUCCGCUCAACUGGAGAACUGCCAUUGAUACUGAUUGUCUUGAGUUAUUAUGAAGUGGUUAGAAUGAGUAGUGUAGCGGUGAAAUGCAUAGAUAUUACUCAGAAUACCGAUUGCGAAGGCAGAUCACUAAUAAUAUACUGACGCUGAUGGACGAAAGCGUAGGUAGCGAACAGGAUUAGAUACCCUGGUAGUCUACGCCGUAAACGAUGGUUACUAGCUGUUCGGCCC
rnacentral:rRNA from 1 species